rnacentral:rRNA from 1 species
UACGAAGGGGGCUAGCGUUGCUCGGAAUCACUGGGCGUAAAGGGUGCGUAGGCGGGUUUUUAAGUCAGGGGUGAAAUCCUGGAGCUCAACUCCAGAACUGCCUUUGAUACUGAAGAUCUUGAGUCCGGGAGAGGUGAGUGGAGCUGCGAGUGUAGAGGUGAAAUUCGUAGAUAUUCGCAAGAACACCAGUGGCGAAGGCGGCUCACUGGCCCGGUACUGACGCUGAGGCACGAAAGCGUGGGGAGCAAACAGG